rnacentral:ncRNA from 24 species
CCCGCAUCAAGAGCGGUGGAGGGAACUGGCCCAGCGAAGCCGCGGCAACCGGCGGGGGGCCCUUACCCCCGUGAGGUGCCAAUUCCAGCAGGUCUCCCCGAGGGGGGCCUGAAAGAUGUGGG